GUGCUUGACUUGUCCCCUAUUCUGAUGAGUCCUUUUACAUAAUUAUAGAAGCGGCCCUUUUUGUAUUUUAAUACUUUGUAUUUUGUUGCCGCUUCUAGUCUCAAUUAUAUGUGCAAUUGGGAACUUAUAUAUUUUGUAAGAGAUUUGUAAUAAAUUGCUCCGCUGCAUAUACUUAAUUAUUAUGCACUCAUAAUCUGUUUCUAUAUCUGGUACCCUUAUGUUUUAAUUAGCAUUUGGAAUGUCACAGUAAUAAGGCAUGAUAUUGUAUUGUAAACAUGAGAAAUAGUAUUUUAUAUUGGCAUGCAUGGUAUUUAAAUGAUAUGAUUCGUUAGGCUUUUUAUGUAUGAGGGAUUCUAUUUCUCUCCCAUCUAGUCUGAAAGUACAUGAGAGGACCACUCCUUGUGGAUGACAUCGUACCCAAUGACGAGAGUGGUUAUGCAAUGUGAUUGUUGGGUCAUCUUUGACAACGUACGACUGUGACUAUAGUUUACAUAUUGGACCACUGUGGUUGGUACGGUUGUGAUCAUAGACCGUGAUAUGGUUUGGCAAGCUGUAAAUAUGUUGUAGUUUAGGAAGCCACAAAUUGCUAAAAUGAUAUAAAAUGAAUUGCUCAUUCUACACUGGUAGUUGAGAAUCGGUAUUGCCCUUAGUAAAUGGAAGUCGGAACAACUUUGUGCGAAGAAUAAAAUAAAACAAAAACAUGACAUGAUGUCUUUGAUUUUCUCUAUUUAAUCAUGACAUGAUUGACAUGACUUACAUAAAUGAUAUGAUUGAUAUGAUUUGAUUUAAAUAUGACAUGAUUUGACAUGAUUGACUUGAUAUUGACAUUUUUUUAAAUAAAGUAAACUAUUUUCAUAAUUAUUAAAAUGAACAUUCGACAUGAAUUUCGAUGGUAAGUAAAUAAGAUAUUCUUUUUUAGUUUAAUUACUUUUAAAAUUUUUGUAUUCUUAUUUAAAUACUAUUUUCUUUAUUGAGUAUGUAGAACUCACCUAUUUCCAUGACUCCCCCUAGAUGAGGACGAUAGUGAGGAACAUAUCGUUGAUCUACUUAUUGAAGCCUUUGCGGAUCUCGUGGAUCUGUGUACCGUUUUGAGUGCAUGUUUUGUUCCGCACUCUGAUGAGUUCAACUUAUAUAGAGGCUUGUAUUUAAUUUUAUUUCGCCUCAAUAUUGUAAGAGUGGAACUCUAUUAUUAUUUUGUAAGGGAUUGUAAUAUUUUAUUCUGUU
rnacentral:lncRNA from 1 species